UACGUAGGUUGCAAGCGUUGUCCGGAUUUAUUGGGUUUAAAGGGUGCGUAGGCGGCUUUGUAAGUCAGUGCUGAAAUAUCCCGGCUUAACCGGGAGGGUGGCAUUGAUACUGCAGGGCUUGAGUAAAGUUGAGGUUGGCGGAAUUGACGGUGUAGCGGUGAAAUGCUUAGAUAUCGUCAAGAACACCGAUAGUGAAGACAGCUAACUAAGCUUUAACUGACGCUGAGGCACGAAAGUGUGGGGAUCAAACAGG
rnacentral:rRNA from 1 species